CAGUAGGUCAUCUGAGAGGAGACAAGGAGAUGGCCUCCAGGCUUAUGAUGGGAGUGGCAGCUGUGAAGACCUCUGACAUGUCCUGGAGACAUUUUCCCCAUUGUCUUGGGGAUUAACAUUCGGCUCAUUGUCACUUAUGCAAAUUUCUGCAGCUGGCUUGAAUUUCUCCUCCGAAAAUGGCAUUUUCUUUUCUACUGCAUCAUCAGGCUGCAAAUUUUUUGAACUUUUAUGCUCUGCUUCUGUUAUAAAACUGAAUGUCUUUAACAGCACCCAAAGUCAUUCAGGAGAAGAUUGUUUAAGCAGACAUGAACUAAAUAAACAGUAAUACGUGGGAAA
rnacentral:lncRNA from 1 species